rnacentral:rRNA from 1 species
GACAGAGGGGCCGAGCGUUAGGCGGAAUCACUGGGCUUAAAGCGUGUGUAGGCGGAUCGUUAAGUACCUUGUGAAAUCCCACGGCUUAACCGUGGAACUGCUGGGUAUACUGGCGAUCUUGAGGUGCUCAGGGGCGAGCGGAACAGAUGGUGGAGCGGUGAAAUGCGUAGAUAUCAUCUGGAACGCCUGCGGUGAAAACGGCUCGCUGGGAGCAAUCUGACGCUGAGACACGAAAGCCAGGGGAGCGAACGGG